GAGACAUCUAGUGGCUGCGAUUACCAACCGACAAUAUUUUCUAGAGUCGUCCGCUCAACCUGUUUGGCACUACCCAAACACUGGAAAGAACUACGAAAGACUUGACGGACACGAAGACCAAACUUGAGGCUAUGAAUAUGGACUUGAAAAACGCAACUCUUGGAAUGGCAGUGU